AGUGCGCAUGCGCGAGGUUCGAGAGGGCAGUACGCAUGCGCGACAUUAUGGACGGCAGUACGCAUGCGCGAGACCCGAAGCGGUAGUACGCAUGUGCGAGCUUCGAGACGGUAGUACGCAUGCGCGAGAUGCGAGACGGCAGUACGCAUGCGCGCCAUUAUGGACGUUAGUACGCAUGUGCGACAUUAUGGACGAUAGUACGCAUGCGCGAGCCGCGAGACGGUAGUACGCAUGCGCGAGCCUCGAAACGGCAGUACGCAUGCGCGAGCCGCGAGACGGCAGUACGCAUGCGCGAGCCGCGAGACGGCAGUACGCAUGCGUACUUUCUCCUGCGCCAAACUGACGGGUCUGCAUUUCCACCUUUUGGCCACUAGAUGGCACCAGAGACGGCCGCAACCUUUCCGACGCAGUUUUUCUGUUUGGCCUUUAGGUGGCAGCAGAUACCGUGGCAACAACAACUCCGCCGCCUUUUAGCGGACUGCCUGGGACCGUGGGCGCGCAUCCCCUUCUCUCUUUCUUUUCUUGGCAGAGGAUGGUGGGGGGAAGAAGGGGAGACGACAAAGAAAAGCAAGGAAAACUUCGACAAACCCUCCAACCCCGUGCUAAAUGCUUUGGUAUACCUGUAAAUAAAUGAAUACA
rnacentral:lncRNA from 7 species